UACGGAGGAUGCGAGCGUUAUCCGGAUUUAUUGGGUUUAAAGGGUGCGUAGGCGGUGACUUAAGUCAGCGGUGAAAGUUUGCAGCUCAACUGUAAAAUUGCCGUUGAAACUGGGCCACUUGAGUGUAAAUGAAGUAGGCGGAAUUCGUGGUGUAGCGGUGAAAUGCAUAGAUAUCACGAAGAACUCCGAUUGCGAAGGCAGCUUACUAAGCUACAACUGACGCUGAAGCACGAAAGCGUGGGUAUCAAACAGG
rnacentral:rRNA from 1 species